AAGAACACAGUAGAAUGUAAUUUAAGAGAGAAAAGUAAGGGCUGACUAAAAAGGGAAGAUAUAUUCACCCCAGGGCAUGGUGAAAGCAAAAUGAAUGGAGAGAGAGAAAAGGCCCAGGAAAUGCAGCGAGGCCUGGAGUCAACGUCUCGUGGCAUUUGGUCAAAGAUCACCAUCCCUCCUUCAGGCUAUCAUCUCCAAAAGGAGAUUCCGAAUUUUAUGAGUACAUUUUCUGCUUCUGUUUUGGCCAACAUGAUUAAAGGUGGUAAAGGAGUUCCACAUAUGAUUAUCUGACUGGAUCCAAGAAGAGACCUCUUGCCUCAUGAAACCCCACACCCAACCAUCCUUUCUGAAGAGAAGAGAGCUUUACACUGGCAAACUUGACCCUGAACACUGGAUUCUAUCAAUGGAAAAACAUCUCUGCUGUUGAGAGCUUGGCCUGUGGUGUUGAAUGAGGAGUUCAGCAUCACAGACGCUGGAGCUGAUAAGACUGUUAGGAAGCAUCUGGUACAAUUCUUCUACUCAACAGAUGAGUCUGGAUGAAGCUAAUCAGUAACCCAACUCUUAAGAAACCUGGGCUCCCGAUUCUCAGCCCAAAGCCAUGAU